UAGUCCUAGCCGUAAACGUUGUGCACUAGGUGUGGGGGGAAUUGACCCCCUCCGCGCCCCAGCUAACGCGAUAAGUGCACCGCCUGGGGAGUACGACGGCAACGUUAAAACUCAAAGGAAUUGACGGGGACCCGCACAAGCGGUGGAGCAUGUGGCUUAAUUCGAGGCAACGCGAAGAACCUUACCUGGGUUUGACAUAUAGGGGACCGUCCGUGAAAGCGGAUUUCUCGUCGGAGCCGCUAUACAGAUACUGCAUGGCUGUCGUCAGCUCGUGUCGUGAGAUGUUCGGUUAAGUCCGGCAACGAGCGCAACCCGUGUCGUCAGUUGCCAACAGGUAAUGCUGGGAACUCUGACGAGACUGCCCGUGUUAAGCGGGAGGAAGGCGCGGAUGACGUCAAGUCAGUAUGGCUCUUACACCCAGGGCUGCACACGUGCUACAAUGGUCGGUACAAUGAGACGCGACAUCGCGAGAUGGAGCAAAUCUCCAAAGCCGGCCCCAGUUCGGAUUGU
rnacentral:rRNA from 1 species